rnacentral:rRNA from 1 species
GUGCCAGCCGCCGCGGUAAUACGUAGGGUGCGAGCGUUAAUCGGAAUUACUGGGCGUAAAGCGUGCGCAGGCGGUUUCGUAAGACAGAUGUGAAAUCCCCGGGCUUAACCUGGGAACUGCAUUUGUGACUGCGAGACUAGAGUGUAGCAGAGGGGGGUAGAAUUCCACGUGUAGCAGUGAAAUGCGUAGAGAUGUGGAGGAAUACCGAUGGCGAAGGCAGCCCCCUGGGCUAACACUGACGCUCAUGCACGAAAGCGUGGGGAGCAAACAGGAUUAGAUACCCCCGUAGUCC